rnacentral:ncRNA from 2 species
CUAAACUUGCGGCACUCUGGUGCCCGCGCGCGGUAUCGCGCCGCGCGCAGUUAAACGGGAAGCAGGGAGCGAAGUCCGCCCGGACGAGCCAACCUGCGCUGUCCUCGCAACGGUACAACGACCGCAGUUCCUGCAGGUCGACCCAUGCACGCGUCGAGCCAUCCAUGAGAGCCGAUGCCGUGCGAAGCGCCACUGCGCAUGCUGCGUGGGAAGGCGGGUCGGCCAGUCGUCAGCCCGGAUACCGGCCGGAGGCAAGGAGCGUGU